rnacentral:rRNA from 1 species
AUAUUGGUCAAUGGACGCAAGUCUGAACCAGCCAUGCCGCGUGAAGGAUGAAGGUCCUCUGGAUUGUAAACUUCUUUUGUAGGGGAAGAAACCCUGGUAUUCCUACCAGGUUGACGGUACCCUAGGAAUAAGCACCGUCUAACUCCGUGCCAGCAGCCGCGGUAAUACGGAGGGUGCAAGCGUUAUCCGGAUUCACUGGGUUUAAAGGGUGCGUAGGAGGAUAGGUAAGUCAGUGGUGAAAUCUCCGGGCUUAACUCGGAAACUGCCGUUGAUACUAUUUAUCUUGAAUUCUGUGGAGGUGAGCGGAAUAUGUCAUGUAGCGGUGAAAUGCUUAGAUAUGACAUAGAACACCAAUUGCGAAGGCAGCUCACUACACAGCGAUUGACUCUGAGGCACGAAAGCGUGGGGAUCAAACAGG